rnacentral:rRNA from 1 species
UUUAAUUAUCAUAUAUAAAAGUGAAAAUAUAAAAUAUAAAUUAAUUUUAGUUGGGGCAACUGGGACGGAUAAAAAUCUUUUAUUAAAUCAUUUAUAGUAAUAUUUAUAUUUAUGAUCCAAAUUAGUUAAUUUUGAACUUAGAAU